CUUUUUUUUUUUUUUUUGCUUUGUUUUCUUUUUUCUUUGUAGAAACUUGAAUGAAUUACCAAACAUUUUGGACUGUGUUUGUCUGACCACAAUUCUUCCUCAUAAGUUGGCCGUUUGAUGACACCUGACCUUGAAGUGCACUGAGAAAGUGGUUUUGUGGCCAGUUUAGACUGUUUCAUCUUUGCAGGCUGAGUUGAGGAUGCAAAACUUCCGCAGUCUUCAAAGUCUCCGAAGUCUCCAAAGGAUGACAUCACCCAUUGGGAAGAGCUAGCAUUCUGUAAAAAUGUUCCAUGUUUCUUUAUCAUUUCACAAGGUGACUUGGUCUUCACCAAAUGGGGAAAGGACACAUUGUUUCGUAAUUAUAAAUGAAAGAGUAAAGAUGAGGGAUUUUAACCUUGAUUAAGGACACACAGUCAUAAACAACUUCUGUGAUGACACCAUACCAGUUGAAAUUCUAACAGGUAAUCAUUUUGAUUUUUCAACAUUUUCACCAUUUUGAAACAUGUCAAAUUCAUAUUAGUCUAAGAGUUGUGCAUCUUUAAAGUAUAUCUUAUAACCUGACAUUUUGUUUUUCAAAAUCCCAUUGACAAAUAUAAACUGUGGUAGUUUGGGUUUUACUUCUGGAUUUUGAUCCCAAUGUAAAUAAUUCACCCGUUGUAUUUGACUGCUCACUUUAUCUUUCAGCCAAUAACUUUAAUGACAGUUUCUAUUGUUUAAUUUGCUAUAUAAAGCCAUGCAGUGAACAGUUCGUGGAAGUGAGACAGCUGGCCUUGCUAGCUACACUUCUUCCUAUCUUCCUAUACUGGAUUUAGUGGAAUCAUGUCUUGUUCAUCCGUUUUGUCCUUAUACUUUGCCCUUGUAACUUUACUAAAUUAUUGUAUUACCUUUGGGUUGGGAGAAUUUCUUGAUAGUUUAUAGGCUAAUUUCUAGGCUUUAGGAGUUUGCAUUUGUUAUAUUCAUACUGGUUAUAAAUUCGUAAAGUGUUAAUGAUCUUAUUUUCAUUUCUAUUGAAUUCAUUUUCAAGUCUCUAAUCAUAGUGUAGUUGGGUCGUUUCGAAGUCGCCACUAUCAAAUAAAAUAAAACAAACACAACGCAAAGUACAGACUAUAUGAAAACCAGAUCUGCUACAACACCCCCCCCCCCA